rnacentral:misc_RNA from 1 species
CAAGAACUUAGAGGAAAGAAGAUAUAUGGGCAGUUAGUUAGAUCUUGUGGGGAUUUGUGUGUACAUAUAUGUAGGAUUAGUUGAUUCAGUUGUAAAGCAUGAGAUUGAGUGGUGUUGGUUGGUAUGUCAUGAUAGGUGUGUGGAAGGGUAACAUAGGAAUCAGAAUGAGGGAUAAGAGGCGCCACAAAGGGAUGGAAGAUGAGAGAGAGUGAAUUUGGAAGCCUGGAAUUGUAAUAUGGAGGCAGGACAGCUUGCAGUUCUAAAUUCUAGUCAUAUUUGUGGGUUAAUUUAAAAGAUAGUAAG